rnacentral:rRNA from 1 species
GACGAACGCUGGCGGCGUGCUUAACACAUGCAAGUCGAACGGAAAGGCCCUGAUUUUGUGGGGUGCUCGAGUGGCGAACGGGUGAGUAACACGUGAGUAACCUGCCCUUGACUUUGGGAUAACUUCAGGAAACUGGGGCUAAUACCGGAUAGGAGCUCCUGCUGCAUGGUGGGGGUUGGAAAGUUUCGGCGGUAGGGGAUGGACUCGCGGCUUAUCAGCUUGUUGGUGGGGUAGUGGCUUACCAAGGCUUUGACGGGUAGCCGGCCUGGGAGGGUGACCGGCCACAAUGGGACUGAGAUAGGGCCCAGACGCGUACGUGGGGCAGCGGUGGGGAAUAUUGCACAAUGGGCGGGAGCCUGAUGCAGCAACGCCGCGUUCGUGAUGACGUCCUUCUGGGUGUGAACCGCUGUCGCCUGUGACGAAGCGGGAGUGACGGUAAUGGGAAAAGAAGCACCGGCUAACUACGUG